CUUUGGCAGCUGUCUGUCAAAAAUGUUGCUUUUGUUUUUUUUUUUAUUUUAACUCCGAAGUGGGAAGGCCAUUACAUCCAUGUUGGAUGCAAACAAAAAUUUUCAUAUGGCCAUGGCAUCCAUGUUGGAUUCAAAAAAAUUGUUUUUUUUACAAAAAACCAAAAAUUAUCUGUAUAUUCUUAGCUACAUUUUAAGACCAUGACCAUUAACAUUAGUUGCGUCGUUCUUGUGUUAUAAGCGUUUGAAGAAAACAGUACUGCCAAGGUACAUUACACUUAUUAAAUGUCAAAUUCCAUUAAACGACAGCUGCAGUUGACAGAUAUAAUAUGACAAAAAAAAUAUUAUAUUUAAAAUUGAAUUAAAUUAGGAAUAACAAACAACACAAAUCAAUGAUUCACGUAAUUGCAAGAGUGCGAUAUCUUCCACAAAACCAAAGAAAAAAAACCGGAAAAGCAGAAGGAAAGUAAAUCAAUUUAUUAAUACAAUGAGAUAGCAUAUUUAUCUUUUUACUAGGAAUUAUUUCACAAAAGAAGAAUUCUGUGUACUGUGUGCUUGUGUCUUAAUCGUGUCGAUACCUUCAAACCUCACAGCCAAAUGUAAUGUAAAAUGCACUUGGAAUGCCCGCUCGUUAGCGAAAACGUCUAUUCUUUGACGAUAAACAUGGUUAAAUGACAACAAAGCUCUUGUUUAUCAAUCGCCUCAUUAUGCCCACCACAAAAAGUCUCAUAACUUUUUAAAAAGAUACACGUCAUGUCUGUGCGCUGCAAAAAAAAGCAAACAGCAACAAGCAAGACAAUCCCAACCUUGCAUUGCAGCUCAUUCAAUACCCAAAUCCUUCGGCUCCCUAAAAUCUCCCUCACUUUAUGUAAAUGGUAUCAGAACCAAGACCCGUUGAUUAAAAGCCAUCUUAGAAGAUCACUUCACUGCCUGUGCAAAUGAUGGUGUCCAAACUUGGACGACAUGUGCAUGUAAAGUGAAGUGUUGAAACAAUGGCAUCUUGAAAGUUGAUGUAUAAGAAAUAUUUAAAAGAACGUUAUGGUAAUUGUUUCAGAGCAUCAUUUAGGUCCCCAAUUGGUUACAGAUAUAAUCUGCCUGCAUUGAUGUCGUCCUGUUUCUUUAGGAAAUGUCUUCUACAAAUGGCUGUAAAGCCGAGAUCCCGAGAAAAUGAUAUCUGCAUGAAUUUUCUUCGCAAUUACUUUCCCCUCCUUAACAGCUAUGCAGGGGAAGGAAUUAAGGCAGUACACAUGGAGUCCCAACCCAACUCAACCAAUCCCCGAGGACAACGUAUACAGCAGACUUUUUAAAUUAAGUUUAUCCAUGUAUUAUAUUUGUUUAUAUUUUAUAACUUUGUUCAUUAUUUAACGUUAGGCCCCCUUUGUGCCAACAAGAUUUUGUAACUAUCAAUGUAUCUUAGAAAUAAGUUAUUUUAAGUCAAUUGUAAAUAGCAAGUUCAAUAAACCAAAAUUGAAUUGCAAUACA